rnacentral:lncRNA from 1 species
AGAAUUUUUAUGCCCCACCUACGAUAGUAGAGGGGCAUUAUGUUUUCUGGUCUGUGCGUCCGUUCGUCCGUCCGUCCGUUCGUUCGUCCGUCUGUCCCGCUUCAGGUUAAAGUUUUUGGUCGAGGUAGUUUUUGAUGAAGUUGAAGUCCAAUCGACUUCAAACUUGGUACACAUUUUCCCUAUGAUAUGAUCUUUCUAAUUUUAAUGCCAAAUUAGAGAUUUUACCCCAAUUUCACGGUCCACUGAACAUAGAAAAUGAUAGUGCGAGUG